AGGCCAAUCAAACCCGGAGAUAUCUCGUUCUCCCCGAAAUAGCUUUAGGGCUAGCGUCGCGCGUUCACCGCCGGAGGUAGAGCACCGGAUGGACGAGGGGGCUUCGCCGCCUACCGAAUCCAACCGAACUCCGAAUGCCGGCGGCCCAGAGCGCGGCAGUCAGAGCAUGUGGGCUAAGCUGUGUGCUCGAGAGGGAAACAGCCCGGACCGCCCGCUAAGGUCCCCAAGUUCCAGCCGAGUGGCAAAGGAUGUGCGUCCGCCCAGACAACCAGGAUGUUGGCUUAGAAGCAGCCAUCCAUUCAAAGAGUGCGUAACAGCUCACUGGUCGAGUGGACAUGCGCCGACAAUACACGGGGCUAAGCUGGACACCGAAGCGGCGGGAUUUUAAUUCAUUAGAAUCGGUAGGGGAGCUUCCCAUGGGCGGAGAAGCCGGAGGGCGACCGACGGUGGAGCGCAUGGGAGUGAGAAUGCUGGCAUGAGUAGCGAGAGACGAGAGAGUAACUCGUCCGCCGUGAACCCGAGGUUUCCUGGGCAAGGCUAAUCCUCCCAGGGUCAGUCGGGGGCUAAGGCGAGGCCGGGAGGCGUAGCCGACGCGCAGCAGGCAGACAUUCCUGCACCGCGCACGCGGCGCUACGACCGACGGGGCGACGGAUGGGGGUGGCUCGGCGGGGUUCUGGACGUCCCCGUGAUGGAGCGCGGCCCGCGGACCAGGGAAAUCCGGUCCGCACGAGGGCGAGGCUCCGGACGAAGCGAUUGAGCGAAGCGAGUGAGCCCGAGGUCCCUAGAAAAACCCCUAGGCAGGCGCGUGCGCGCCCGUACCGCAAACCGACACAGGUGGGUGGGUAGAACAUACCGAGGCGAUCGGGUCAACCAUGGUCAAGGAACUCGGCACAAUGGCCCCGUAACUUCGGGAGAAGGGGUGCCCGCGCGUACGUGAACCGGCUUGCCCGGGGAGCGGAGGCGGGCCGCAGUGGAGAGGCCCAAGCGACUGUUUACCAAAAACACAGGACUCUGCAGAAGCCGCAAGGCGACGUAUAGGGUCUGACGCCUGCCCGGUGCCGGAAGGUCACGCGGAGGAGUUAGCCGAUUCGGCGAAGCCCCGAAGCCAAGCCCCGGUAAACGGCGGCCGUAACUAUAACGGUCCUAAGGUAGCGAAAUUCCUUGUCGGGUAAGUUCCGACCUGCACGAAAGGCGCAACGACUUGGGCGCUGUCUCGACCAUGGACCCGGUGAAAUUGCACUGGUCGUGAAGAUGCGACUUACCCGCGGAAGGACGGAAAGACCCCGUGAACCUUCACUGCAGCUUGGCAUUGGCCGCUGGUCCCGCGUGUAGAGGAUAGGCAGGAGGCAUCGAUCCGGAGGCGCCAGCCCCCGGGGAGCCGCCCUUGGAAUACUGCCCUCGCGCGACCGGCGUCCUAACCCGAGGCCGUCAACCGGCUCGGGGACCGUGCCAGGCGGGCAGUUUGACUGGGGCGGUCGCCUCCUAAAGGGUAACGGAGGCGCGCGAAGGUCCGCUCGGGACGGUCGGCAACCGUCCUUUUGAAUGCAAGAGUACAAGCGGGCUUGACUGCGAGGCCCACAAGCCGAGCAGGUGCGAAAGCAGGCUCUAGUGAUCCGGCGGCCCCGAGUGGGUGGGCCGUCGCUCAACGGAUAAAAGGUACUCCGGGGAUAACAGGCUGAUCUUGCCCAAGAGUCCACAUCGACGGCAAGGUUUGGCACCUCGAUGUCGGCUCAUCGCAUCCUGGGGCUGGAGCAGGUCCCAAGGGUACGGCUGUUCGCCGUUUAAAGCGGUACGCGAGCUGGGUUCAGAACGUCGUGAGACAGUUCGGUCCCUAUC
rnacentral:rRNA from 1 species